AGCACCUGAGUCCGUGCCGUGAUCUCGUCAGACACCAGACCAUUAGUACUGAUGGGACUCCCAAGACAAGUGAAGCG
rfam:Schistosoma mattheei strain Denwood, Zambia genome assembly, scaffold: SMTD_scaffold0019766